rnacentral:misc_RNA from 1 species
GAUGAAGAACGUAGCGAAAUGCGAUAAGUAAUGUGAAUUGCAGAAUUCAGUGAAUCAUCGAAUCUUUGAACGCACCUUGCGCCUUUUGGUAUUCCGAAAGGCACACCUGUUUGAGCGUCAUGAAUACCUCAAUCUCCAUCUUUUCUUCGGAUUGAUGGGUGACUUGGAUGUUGAGCCCUGCUGGUAUGCUAUAUCAGCUGGCUUUAAACUUAUUAGCCGGCUCUGUACUGGAUCGGUUUGACUCGACGUGAUAAUAUUAUCGUUGAGGAUGCAUGUCUCAUGCAGCCGGAAAGUAUCAAAGCAGCUUCUAGCUUGCCUUUAGUGCACUUUUACAUUUUAGACCACAGAUCAGGUGGGACUACCCGCUGAACUUAAGCAUAUCAAUAAGCGGAGGA